AUCUAGUUAGCUCAGUUGGUUAGAGCAUGGUGCUGAUAACGCCAAGGUUGUGGUUUCAAUCCCCAUACAGGCCA